rnacentral:rRNA from 1 species
AGCGUAUAUUAAAGUUGUUGCAGUUAAAAAGCUCGUAGUUGGAUUUCUGUUAAUAAUUUAUAUAAAAUAUUUUGAUGAAUAUUUAUAUAAUAUUAACAUAAUUCAUAUUACUAUUUUUUUUUUUAGUAUAUGAAAUUUUACUUUGAGAAAAUUAGAGUGCUUAAAGCAGGCAUAUGCCUUGAAUACUCCAGCAUGGAAUAAUAUUAAAGAUUUUUAUCUUUUUUAUUGGUUCUAAGAUAAGAAUAAUGAUUAAUAGGGACAGUUGGGGGCAUUUGUAUUUAACAGUCAGAGGUGAAAUUCUUAGAUUUGUUAAAGACAAACUAAUGCGAAAGCAUUUGCCAAGGAUGUUUUCAUUAAUCAAGAACGAAAGUUAGGGGAUCGAAGACGAUCAGAUACCGUCGUAGUCUUAACCAUAAACUAU